AUUGAACGCUGGCGGCAUGCUUUACACAUGCAAGUCGAACGGCAGCGCGGGCUUCGGCCUGGCGGCGAGUGGCGAACGGGUGAGUAAUGCAUCGGAACGUGCCCAGUAGUGGGGGAUAGCCCGGCGAAAGCCGGAUUAAUACCGCAUACGACCUGAGGGUGAAAGCGGGGGACCGAAAGGCCUCGCGCUAUUGGAGCGGCCGAUGUCGGAUUAGCUAGUUGGUGGGGUAAAGGCUUACCAAGGCGACGAUCCGUAGCUGGUCUGAGAGGACGACCAGCCACACUGGGACUGAGACACGGCCCAGACUCCUACGAGAGGCAGCAGUGGGGAAUUUUGGACAAUGGGGGCAACCCUGAUCCAGCCAUGCCGCGUGCGGGAAGAAGGCCUUCGGGUUGUAAACCGCUUUUGUUCGGGAAGAAAUCCUCUGGGCUAAUACCCCGGGGGGAUGACGGUACCGGAAGAAUAUGCACCGGCUAACUACGUG
rnacentral:rRNA from 1 species